UUGGCCCUGAAUCAAGGCCAGCAGUUUGUGGAAGCUGUUAGUAUUAAGCAAGAGCCUAAAGAAAUUUUGUACGGUCUGUUGGCCUUUUCAGAACUUUGAAAAUAAAAUAGUCAAAUGAUUCGAAAGAGACAUCU
ensembl:snoRNA